CAAUUCCGGUUGAUCCUGCCGGAGGUCAUUGCUAUUAGAGUUCGACUAAGCCAUGCGAGUGCUUUGCCUCUUCGGCGGUGAAGUGCGAACGGCUCAGUAAUAUAUAACUAACCUGCCCUUAGGCCUCCCAUAAUCUCGGGAAAGUUUGAGUAUCUUAUUUACUCAACCCCGAAACUGAGGAUAAAGGGAGAUAGGAUAAGUGUUCUGGAAAGAGCUUAUCCGAAUCUAAGGAUGGGGUUAUAUCUGAUUAGGUUGUUGUUGGGGUAAAGGCCCAACAAGCCUAUAAUCAGUACGGGUUGUGAGAGCAAUAGCCCGGAGAUGGAUUCUGAGACACGAAUCCAGGCCCUACGGGGUGCAGCAGGCGCGAAACCUUUGCAAUGUGCGAAAGCACGACAGGGGAACUCUAAGUGUUCUCCUGCAUAAGGAGAACUUUUGCUAAGUUCAAAGAGCUUAGCGAAUAAGUGGUGGGUAAUAAAUUGUGAGUCAAAGAAUUUUUAUAGUAUAUAGUUUGGCUCACAGUUUACCAAACGGGUGGCAGCCGCCGCGGUAAUACCCGAGCCACAAGUGAUGACCACGUUUAUUGGGUUUAAAGCAUCCGUAGCCGGUCCAGCAAGUUUCUGGUUAA
rnacentral:rRNA from 1 species